rnacentral:tRNA from 1 species
GCGGUUAUGGUGAAAUUGGUAUACACGCAAUGUUGAGGUCGUUGUCUCGAAAGAGGUGGAGGUUCAAGUCCUCUUAACCGCACCA